UACGUAGGGGGCUAGCGUUGUCCGGAAUCAUUGGGCGUAAAGCGUGUGUAGGCGGCCCGGUAAGUCCGCUGUGAAAGUCGGGGGCUCAACCCUCGGAUGCCGGUGGAUACUGUCGGGCUUGAGUACGGAAGAGGCGAGUGGAAUUCCUGGUGUAGCGGUGAAAUGCGCAGAUAUCAGGAGGAACACCAACGGCGAAGGCAGCUCGCUGGGACGGAACUGACGCUAAGGCGCGAAAGCGUGGGGAGCGAACAGG
rnacentral:rRNA from 1 species